CAUGAUGUCCGGGAUUUAAAAAAAACAGAGAAGAUGAUUAUCAAAUAAAUUUUUGGUUUUUGAUGAUGUUUUUACAAGACAAGAAAAGAAGCUAUCAUCUUCAAACAGAUUAGAAAUAGUGAUCAUACCGGAUGAAGUUCUUUAUGGAAAAUUAGCGUGUUUUGGAUAUGUCGAGCAUAGACAUGUUGUGCAUGUAAAAAGUUCUGAAUGAAGUUCAGAUGAAGAGGAGGUGCUUGGCUGGUCAACAUAAACUUUCUUCCUACCCCUAAAGUCUUUGCCUAAGAGACCAUUUACAAGACAAUAGCUGGAUGAAAAUUUUGUUUAAAAGUAGGUACGUAGAAAUUUGCGUUUUACGGUGCCGAGUUUUAUACCAAAACACUGUUCUCCGUUUUUUGACUUUUGCGUUUAGGCAGUAUGGUAGGAUGGUAUUUUGUAGCCGUAUUUUUUAAAAUUUUGUAUUAACAUAGAUAUUUUUUAAAAUCUAAAUUGAUUAAAAUUUAUUUCUAUUGGUCUUUUUAUUAUAAUGACAAACUUUAUAAGUGAGUUUACUUACAUACAAAACUUGGUAAUACGUUUAGUAAACCUUGAAAAAGUAAUCAGUAAAUUUUCUAACCUACUCUCAUUUGUAAGUUUACACACUUUUUAUGCACCUGCCUAAUUUCAUUGCUUUAUUUUUAGAAGCACAUACCCUAUUUUUACGAGCACUUUUGGUACCUAAUUUUUUUUUAAACAGUUUAACGGCGGGCGGAUGAUGGGGAUUUCGGUAACAACAUUUCGUCAGCCGAGAACCAAGAGGCCGUAUAUCCAGUUUUGACUUUUUUCCUGUUUUUUACUAAAAAAUGUUUUCUAUGAUGAAAUCUAUGUUUUGAGUAAUUCUAGUCACAAAAAUCAUCAAACUUAGGGUUAAAUUAAAAGAACCAGAAGGCCGUAUGUCCAAAAAGGUGACGACUGUUAUUAUCAACUGGCUGUAUGUCCUUUGACCAAUCAGAUUAGCCAAGACUUUUUUUACGCUGUUAAACAACCGCUAAAACUUUAUUUGUUAUCAAUAAAAUGGCGUACCAUGAAACUACUGAUGAAGUAUCUCUAAGAAACAUAAAGAAACGAGAUUACAGCAUAAUCUUCAAUUCAACUACUCUGAAUCUAUCUCUGUUAUUCAAUCACAACAUAUUGAUAAAAAUGAUGAUUUCCUUAAUCAAACUGAUUCGAACAGAGAUGCCAGGGAAAGUAGCAGAAAACACGGGAGAACUGGAAAAAAUUGAACACGCAAACGAAAAAGAGACCCUACCUCCUGGAAAAAAGAAAUAAGAAAAAAACUUAAACAGAGUGGUCAGCAAUACAUAGCCUCAAAUGGCAAAAUACAACUGGGGAAGUUUAUAAAAGACUGUAAGAGAGAUCACACUUAAUGUCGUUUUAAAUGUAAAUUAAAAAUUAGCGUUGCUGAUCAAGAAACUUUGCACAAACAGCAUUUUUUUUCAAUGAUCAAGAAAAGCGUCUUUUUUACCUCCAAACUACAAAUGUAGAGAACAAAAAAAGGUUUCGUCUAGCUGAAAAUUCAGAAUUGAAAAAACAUAGUUAUUCAUAUUACUUUAUUGUUUCUGAUGAACUUAUACGUGUUUGUAAAGAAUUUUAUCUGUGUACUCUAAAUAUUGAUGAAAAAAGAAUUAGAAAUUACUAUAGAAACAACAGAAGCACCUCAACAGUAUAAAAGAGGUAAAGUACCUAGUCGAACUGUUCCAAAUUACAUUAAAGAUUCUGUACAUAAGCAUAUUCAAAGCAUUCCAAGAAACGACAGUUACUUUUGUCGUAAAAGUACAAACAAAGAGUACAUUCAAGAAAAUCUGAAUAUGACCGUUUUGUAUGAGAAAUAUUGUGAAAACUCUGUUUCUGACUCUGUUAUUCCUGCAAAAAAAGUAUGAAUAGAUCAAUAUUUAACACAGAGUUGAAGUUCAUAAACUAAAAAAAGACAGAUGUGACAAAUGUGAAAGUUAUGAAAAUGAAUCCUUCACCAAACUCAAAUGAAAAAUAUAAUAUGAAAUUCACACUAAAAACAAAGCUGAAACUAAUGAAGAAUGUAAUCGUGAUAGGCUUGAUAAAAGCAAGUGUGUUAUUUGCUUCGAUAUGAAAAAUGUUUUCAGCCUACCAACAGCAAAUGUUUUCAACUUUUUUUACAAACAAAAGUUGACAGUUUUUCAUUUGACUGCACAAUGUUCUAUAUCAAAAAAAAAAGUUAUAGUGCAGUCUGGUCAGAACUUACUAGUGGCCGAACAGGAAAUAAUAAAGCUAGUGCUCUUCUUGUUAUACUUGAUCAAAUAGUUGCAGAUGUCACAAUCUCAAAUAACUGAAGCUUGUUUAUGGAGUGACUCUUGUGUAACGCAGAAUAGAAAUGUUUUAUGACGAUUGCUUUAAAAAUUUUUAUGCAAAACCAUCCACAAAUUAAAACAAUCAUUCAGAAAUUUUGUGAGCCAGGACAUAGUGUUAUCCAGGAGAUAGACAGUUUACAUAGUAUUAUUGAAAGAAAUAUGGAAGUAGCUGAAGUUUACAGUCUAAUUGGCCUUGUCAGAAUUCUAAAGUACAUACCUCGAAAGAAUCCAAUCUAGUUGAUUCAAACUAAAGAAGAGCAGAUGAUGGACUUUCAAACCGUUGCUAAGAAUUAUUCAUUGCUGAAAAAUGUUCCAUAUGUUAAAGUAAAGAUACUUAAAUACUCAGCUGAUAAGCCAUGGAGUGUUGAAUGCAAAACUGAGUUUAGUUCUGAAUGGAAGUUGGAAAAUAUUUUCAACUAUAACACUUGACAACGAAAUUCAAAUAAUAAAAAAAUGGCAAAUGAUAUAAAGUUUGUGCAACCGAAAGUGCUUAAAAAAAAAAAAAGAAAUCUCAAUAAAAAAGUAAAAGAUCUAAAAUCAAUGUUAAAAUUCAUGCCACUUCAAGACAAAGAAUAUAUAUGUCAUCGGUCCUACAAACAUCAACCUAGUGUUAAAUGUUAACUAUUAUCAAUUUUUGUUCGCAGCAACUUUAAGCUCUAUUGGCAACCUGGUUCUGCAUCAAUUUUUUUUUGAACUCUUUUUAUGAAAAUUAUUUUAUGAAUUUUAA